rnacentral:SRP_RNA from 1 species
UAUCAGCGAUACGCACCGGCAGGGGUUGUGGAAAUGCUUGCCCUUUGGGGGGGUUCCCGGGGGCAAUACCCACUGGCAGGAAUGAGGCCCGCGGAUGUUGGGCCAUGACGUCAGGUUUCGAAAGAAGCAGCAUGAUCCCGA